AUGGCUUAUUAGCCUAUUAGCCCAUUUCUUUUAAAAAUAAACUUACCCUAAGUUUGUCUUCAGCUUUUCUUCAUCAUCUCAGCAGGCUGCGGCUUCUCAUUGUUCGUCCAUGGCGCAACUUCUCAUCGUUCGCCGAUGGUGGCAGCUUCCUUCAUUGUCCGAGGUUGCACUCUCAUCUUCAACUUUCCUUCAUCGUCACCUUGUCCUCCUUCAUUUCCCUUCUUCAUACCCGCGCCUCCUCCUGCUUCAUUUUUCUUCUUCACCGCUGCGCCAUAGAGCUGAAUCUGGAUUGUAGCUUGGUUCCGUAGAGGAGCUGGUGUCCAGAUCAAAUGAGAGAGAAAAUGUGAGGUUGUUAACUGUAAGGAAGAUCUGUCUAAUGCCGAGGACUAUCACCGUCGGCAUAAAGUGUGUGAACUUCACAGCAAAGCCACUAAAGCAGUCGUUUGGAAGUAGAUGCAGAGGUUCUGUCCGCAAUUCACCAGAAAUAUUGCGUUGGUGGAAAGUCUGUUGUAAGUAGCAAAGAGGACCUUCUAGAACAUGAGGAAGAAAACAUGAACUUUCCAAGGUAUGAGUGCGUCCAUAGGAUCAUGAUUCUAAGCGAAGAAUACCCAUGGCCUGGUGAAAUUUUGGUUCAUAAAGAACUAUAUCUCUCCUCAGUUUAAGGUUAUAAUGACCAAGUCAUUAUCUUUUAUUGGUUCUUGCUCUAGUGACCAAGUCAUUAUUGUGGGGGAAUGUCAAAUCUUAAGUGAAAAGUAUUAGAUUUAUUUAGUUCUUGGCUCAUCCUUAGCCCUAAAUAUUGGAAUAAACUUUUCUUGUAUAUUUUUUCCAAAAAUAAAAGGAUGAGGUUCCUUGGUAGUAUUGGUGUAGCCCUUCAUGGGGCAAUUCUCCUGCCAUUUUGCUGGUUAUAGAUCUUGUUAGUGGGAUUGCUCGAGGAAGACACAUCUAUAACCGACUCCUAGUCCAAUGAAGAUCCUUAUUCAUAUAGAGCCUCUUGACUCUCGGGUUAUGGUACCAAAA